rnacentral:rRNA from 1 species
GCCUUGUACUGGGGAAUAGUUCCGGGAAACUGGGAGUAAUACCCCAUAGUCCUCGAUGCAAAUCGGGGUAAAGUUCUGGCGGUACGAGAUGGCUGUGCGUCUGAUUAGCUAGUUGGUGAGAUAACGGUUCACCAAGGUGACGAUCAGUAGGGGGCGUGAGAGCGUGGUCUUUCACACGGGUACUGAGACACGGACCCGACUCCUACGGGAGGCAGCAGUAAGGAAUAUUGGUCAAUGGAGGCAACUCUGAACCAGCCAUCCCGCGUGCAGGAUGACGGCCCUAUGGGUUGUAAACUGCUUUUAUUUGGGAAGAAAAUUAUGUUUUUGGCGUAACUGACGGUACCAAAUGAAUAAGCACCGGCUAACUCCGUGCCAGCAGCCGCGGUAAUACGGAGGGUGCAAGCGUUAUCCGGAAUCACUGGGUUUAAAGGGUGCGUAGGCGGCAUUAUAAGUCAGAGGUGAAAGCCCGGCGCUCAACGUCGGAAUUGCCUUUGAUACUGUAGUGCUUGAAUCAGGUUGAGGUCGGCGGAAUGUGACAUGUAGCGGUGAAAUGCAUAGAUAUGUCAUAGAACACCAAUUGCGAAGGCAGCUGACUGGAUCUGUAUUGACGCUGAGGCACGAAAGCGUGGGGAGCGAACAGGAU